GAUGAACGCUGGCGGCGUGCUUAACACAUGCAAGUCGAACGGGAAACCUUUUAUUGAAGCUUCGGCAGAUUUAGAUUGUUUCUAGUGGCGGACGGGUGAGUAACGCGUGGGUAACCUGCCUUAUACAGGGGGAUAACAGUCAGAAAUGACUGCUAAUACCGCAUAAGCGCACAGGACCGCAUGGUCCGGUGUGAAAAACUCCGGUGGUAUAAGAUGGACCCGCGUUGGAUUAGCUAGUUGGUGAGGUAACGGCCCACCAAGGCGACGAUCCAUAGCCGGCCUGAGAGGGUGAACGGCCACAUUGGGACUGAGACACGGCCCAGACUCCUACGGGAGGCAGCAGUGGGGAAUAUUGCACAAUGGGGGAAACCCUGAUGCAGCGACGCCGCGUGAAGGAAGAAGUAUCUCGGUAUGUAAACUUCUAUCAGCAGGGAAGAUAGUGACGGUACCUGACUAAGAAG
rnacentral:rRNA from 1 species